rnacentral:rRNA from 1 species
UUCCGGUUGAUCCUGCCGGACCUGACUGCUAUCGGAUUGGUACUAAGCCAUGCGAGUCGUUGUAGCAAUACAAGGCGGACGGCUCAGUAACACGUAGUCAACCUAACCUAUGGACGUGGAUAACCUCGGGAAACUGAGAAUAAACCGCGAUAGAUCAUUAUGCCUGGAAUGGCUUAUGGUUCAAACAAUUUAUUGCCGUAGGAUGGGACUGCGGCCUAUCAGCUUGUUGGUGAGGUAAUGGCCCACCAAGGCUAUAACAGGUACGGGCUCUGAGAGGAGAAGCCCGGAGAUGGGUACUGAGACACGGACCCAGGCCCUAUGGGGCGCAGCAGGCGAGAAACCUUAGCAAUGUGCGAAAGCACGACUAGGUUAAUCCGAGUGAUUUCUGUUGAAGAAAUCUUUUGUCAGUCGUAAAACCACAGACGAAUAAGGGGUGGGCAAGUCUGGUGUCAGCCGCCGCGGUAAUACCAGCACCUCGAGUGGUCAGGAGGUUUAUUGGGCCUAAAGCAUCCGUAGCCGGCUACGCAAGUCUCCGGUUAAAUCCAGCUGCUCAACAGAUGGGCUGCCGGAGAUACUACAUAGCUAGGGAGCGGGAGAGGUAGACGGUAUUCUGUGGGUAGGGGUAAAAUCCACUGAUCCAUAGAGGACCACCAGUGGCGAAGGCGGUCUACCAGAACGCGUUCGACGGUGAGGGAUGAAAGCUGGGGGAGCAAACCGGAUUAGAUACCCGGGUAGUCCCAGCUGUAAACGAUGCAAACUCGGUGAUGCAUUGGCUUAUGGCCAAUGCAGUGCCGCAGGGAAGCCGUUAAGUUUGCCGCCUGGGAAGUACGGACGCAAGUCUGAAACUUAAAGGGAUUGGCGGGGGAGCA